rnacentral:rRNA from 1 species
GCUUAGCCUUAAACCUAGAUAUUGAAUUUACAAGCAACAUCCGCCAGGGUACUACAAGCGCUAGCUUAAAACCCAAAGGACUUGACGGUGUCUCAGACCCACCUAGAGGAGCCUGUUCUAGAACCGAUAAUCCCCGUUAAACCUCACCACCCCUUGUUUCCUCCGCCUAUAUACCGCCGUCGCAAGCUUACCCUGUGAAGGUCUAAUAGUAAGCAAGAUGGGUAAAUCCCAAAACGUCAGGUCGAGGUGUAGCUUACGAGGUGGGAAGAAAUGGGCUACAUUUUCUAUAUCAGAAUAAUACGAACAGCACCAUGAAAUUAGUGCUCGAAGGUGGAUUUAGUAGUAAAAAACAAAUAGAGAGUCUUUUUGAACCAGGCUCUGAGACGCGC